AUUGAACGCUGGCGGCGUGCUUAACACAUGCAAGUCGAGCGGUAACAGGCGUAGCAAUACGUGCUGACGAGCGGCGAACGGGUGCGUAAUACAUGGGAAUCUGCCCUUUGGUGGGGAAUAACCCGGCGAAAGCCGGGCUAAUGCCGCAUGAGAUCUUCGGAUGAAAGCGGGGGCUCGUAAGACACCGCGCCGACGGAGGAGCCAAUGUCGGAUGAGCUAGAUGGUGGGGUAACGGCUCACCAAGGCGACGAUCGGUAGCUGGUCUGAGAGGACGGCCAGCCACACUGGGACUGAGACACGGCCCAGACUCCUACGGGAGGCAGCAGUGGGGAAUAUUGGGCAAUGGGCGAAAGCCUGAUCCAGCGACGCCGCGUGUAUGAAGAAGGCCUGCGGGUUGUAAAGCACUUUCGAUGGGAACGAAAUGUGCCGGGCUAAUACCCCGGCAAGCUGACGUUACUCAAUGAAGAAGCACCGGCUAACUCUGUGCCAGCAGCCGCGGUAA
rnacentral:rRNA from 1 species